UUUACUGAAAGUUAACUCAUUUUCAAACAAACUUUAUGAAGAACGUUGGAGCAAAUUCGGAUAUUCAUUUGGUGCUUUUUGAUGAAGAAAACAGGGUAGUUGGUUUUCACUCGAAAUCAGGAUGUCUCUGGUUUUUCUUAUAUUUCAGAGUGUACCGAUGGAGUUAGAAUCUCUAAUUUGUAUGGUUGGAAAGCUUAUGCAAUGUACUACAACUUUCAUGAAGAAAUUGUAAACCAAAAACGACUAAAAAUCAGUUACAUUGUAGGGACAAGUUAAAGAGGUCGUGUGCGCGCGAUUCUGGAAGUGGUUAUGUUUUGAGGGUUAUAUGUGUUUAUGCACGGGGAAUCAGAUUUAUAUGUCUUCAGGUAGAGAUCGAGUUCCCGGUGCCUGAUAGACUGCCUUAGUCUGCUGAAGCUCCAUUAUCGAUUGCCAGUACGUAUUUUGAGUUGGGCAUAGAGUCUGUUGUGUUAUGAUGUAUAUACACCCUUGUAUGUUAUAGAUACUCCACAGUUUGUAUAAGCUUCAGGAGCUGUAGUUGUGUAAAUUUUUGUUGGUUAUAUUUUGAUUAAGGUGUCUUUAGGUUUACCCGUGAAAUCAGUAAAUUUUGAGGUACACUUCAUGUAUGUGUUUGACUAGCCUAGGAUCCGCUGUGUUUUGUUGCAUGUAUAAUAGUUUAUAUACUAGAUUGGCAAGUUCAUCAUAUGAAAGUUUUAAGCAGAGUCGACAGAUACAUGUAUAGAAAAGCGUUGUUCGUCGGCUUCACGCCCGUGUAGGGUGGCUCGAACCGGCGCGACGUGAGUGCGACUCAGCUACGGCGUAUACGCAGGCGCGACUCAAUGCAGAUUGUGUGGGCGCGACCCGAUGUGGUCAUGCGGGCAUGGCUCGAUGCAGAUUGUGCGGGCGCGGCUCGGGUCGCAGGGCAAGGACUCGAGUCGAUCAGCUUCACGCGGUGAAAAGACGCGGGCGCGCAGGUCAGGUUUCGGGUUCGAGCGACAGUUGAGACGGUGGGGCUCGAUCUUCCGACGAUGCGGCGCUGACCAGGUGAUGGCAAACUCUGAUGGUCGAUGACGGAACAAGGCGACGUUUGGUGGACCGGUGUAGACGAUGACAAAUCGAGGCAGACUACGGAGGGAGGGAGGUGUGCAGGUCGGGAUCUUGGCUUCGACGGACAGUCACGGUCCACUUCCGAUGGCGAUCAUACGAACACAGCGGCGGCUGGUCUUGCGGUUAGAGCUGUGCGAUCGGCUAACGGCGGCAGCAGAUCUGGCGGUUAGGGUUUUUUUCUCUUUUCUUUCUUGUUUCUUUCUUUCUUUCCUUUCUCAAUGAAGGGGAUGGUGGUUUGCACGGGUCCCAAUAGUCCUUUUAAUGAGAAAAAUAAUAAUAAUAAUAUGUUUAUUAUUAUUCUUCCUUUCUCUUUUCCUAAUUUAAUUAAUUAAAUCCACUUAAUCUCUUUCUUAUUUAAA